CAGCAGCCGCGGGAAUACGUAGGGUGCAAGCGUUAAUCGGAAUUACUGGGCGUAAAGCGUGCGCAGGCGGCCAUGCAAGACAGAUGUGAAAUCCCCGGGCUCAACCUGGGAACUGCAUUUGUGACUGCAUGGCUAGAGUAUGGCAGAGGGGGGUGGAAUUCCGCGUGUAGCAGUGAAAUGCGUAGAUAUGCGGAGGAACACCGAUGGCGAAGGCAGCCCCCUGGGCUAAUACUGACGCUCAUGCACGAAAGCGUGGGGAGCAAACAGGAUUAGAUACCCCUGUAGUCCCUGUCUCUUAUAC
rnacentral:rRNA from 1 species